UGUAAGGUUAUGUUGGGUCAUUUGUGUACUUGUUUAUUUUAAUCAAUGUUUGUGAAGUUCAGUAUGUAUGAGUCAUUGUUGGAAUGUUUUUAUUCAUUUCCUCUUUGUGAAAUGUGUAAUGAACACAAAAAGGACAUUUGACGAGGUCCAUAUGAUGUGUUGCUGUCGACUGCUGCAAACUGAUGCUUUACCUACAGAGGAAAUCACCACCUCAAACCAUUUCACAGAAUGAGACACUUCAAGCAAAACACAGUGAGGCAGAAGCCACGCUCAACGCUUUCCAUGGAAAGAGAGAUGUGUUUUUUCACUGAUCUAUUGUUGGUGGAUGGUUCUGUCUUCAGCUUUCACUUUUGGCAAUGCAGCAGUAAAUCAUGCUACAACUUUAUUUGUCAAUCAUGGAGAUUCUGUCAAACCUGCAACCUGCAACUACAGACAAAUAAUUGACAUAGAAAGCAUGACAGUGGAUCUGCAAAUGAUAAAUCAUACGCUGUGUUUAUAUUACUUACAUGAGAAUACAUGGAAAAAACUAAAUUGUGAAAAUCACAUCAGAUUCACAUGGAUUCCAGAAACUAAAGAAAUAUCAUUUGAGCUCUUAAAUCUACAAAUUCAGAAUACUGGCACAUACACCUUUACUGUGAAAAGGAUUGUAAAACCACCUCAGGUGAAUCUUGGAGUUAA